AACUAACCUUACGAAAUAUCCUCAUAGUAGGUAUUUUAUGAGGCAACUGCCUAUAAAUGAAUCAGCCUUCACUACUUCUUUUUGACUAACAAAACAUAUAGACCUUAGUAGGUAGGAUUUUGAAAUCCGUUACAAAGCAGUGAAGAGAAGAGGGGAGGUGAGAAAAAUAUCGAUUUUGAAAGAAUUCAUAGUCGUUUGGAUCAGAUAUAUGGAUCACCAUCCAUAUAUCCUUCCCAUUCCUAUGAAUAUCCAAUUUACACGUCUUCUGAUAAUCUCUUCAAGGUAUCUCGACUCUUAAGGCGAAAUCCCUUGAACAAGUUUUUCACUCGGCUCGGUGGAUCUUGUCUCCUUUAAGGGAAGAAUCGUUGAUUGUGCAAGUGCCUCUUCAUAUCAAGAUCUUCUACGGAAUCAUCGUAUACUUCUACAUACAAGGACUAAUGAGUUCUAUAAAACGACAGAAAGACCCAGUGAGGUGCAGAGAAAGUUAUCAUCCUCCAUCGACAACUCCUUCUGUGAAAUUAUUGAAAGUCAACUCUGCAUCGUCUCCUACUCAAGAAAACUAUUUCAAUAAUAAGAGUCGUUCAGUCGCCUUGAUACAUUGUAUAUAAUACAGAAAUCAGUAAUCACUCAUCUCGAUCACAUUGAUAUCAAAUGAUAUAAUCAAGUUGGACUUAGUUAUAUACGGUCUAUAGUCUAUACGUAUAAUGAUAUAACAUGGACACUUCCAUCUUACGCCUGAUUUAUUUAUUACUUAUGAGUCUCUUUUCUCAUUGGAAAACAAGUGCAUGUUGAUUCUAGACUCAUAAAGAUAAUGUGUCUAUAUUAUGGUCUAUAAAGCAUAUUCGAUUCUGAUAUUACAUAUAAAUAGUUAUUUGGAACCAGAGAGUUCCAAAAAAAAGAAAUCAUUCCCGAAUGAAUUACCUAGUUAAGAACAAAGAGUUAUCAUUUCUCUCCAAAGAUCCUUCGUUGAAACUCUUGAAGCCUGUUUCUUCCAAUGUCGACUUUUUUCGUCUCUUAUUCUUAUAAAAAUAUUUCAUUGUUAAGAAUACUUCAGUUUCCGUGAUGUAGAUAAUGCAGAAAUCCCUUGGAAAAAAGUAUAACUUAAUUAUAGACUUUCAAUAAAUAUGCACCCUUUUUUUUUCGAUACUUUUGUCUGCAAUGCAAAUUAUAUUUUGCUGUUAUCUGCAUAAAUGGAUUUUGUGAAUUGUUGACUGCUAAGUGAUUAUGUGAUAAUAGAUCGUAAGUGACCUCUUAACUUGAGUAGACUUAUAUUGGAAAACCUUUAUAUAAUUGCAAUUUCGAAACUUAGUUAGUCUUAAUCAUCUUCUAAAAAACGUAAUUGCUUAUCUACAUAUUGGAAUAUUAUCCGCUGAAGAUAUAGGAUCUUCUCACUAAUAAAGAUUAUUAAUACAUAGUUUUUAAUUCCCAUAAGAGUUCUUCUAUUUAAUUAUUAGUUAUUUUAAAAAUACUCAUUAUUGACAUUGAUACAAAUGUUCAAAAUUAAUAGCUAACUAUUUAUAUUUCAUCUUACUUUUCUUUGAUUUAUAACUAUAUAUAUUUUUUUAAGAUCUAAAUAAAACACUUUUUUAGAGUUAAUCCUUUAUUAAACGAAACAAAAUGAAAAUUCAAUAAUUAGAAGAUAACUUAGUAAUGUUUCUGGAACUUGCACUAUGGAAACUCGACUUUUUUUUACCAAAGGGUAUCCUACUAUUAGCCUCAUUUAUGAGAUUUUUGCUAGAUAUAUUUAAAUAAAACAUGAUCAAUAUAUUUAGCGAAAUGAUAUUAUUUUUUACACUUCAACCCAAUACGAAGAUGGGAAUCGCCGGUUUCUAAUAAAUUGAUAAAGAAUCGUCUUGGAUUUGUCGACAUCAUUAAAAUUUGUCGAGUUUUGUUCACUGAGAAUAUCAUUUUGUAAAACUGACUACCUUGAAACGUAGAUAAAUAAAAUAAUAAAUCUGAA
rnacentral:lncRNA from 1 species